CCAGCCAAUCGCGGUUAUACAAAAUAUAUAAAUAAAUUUUAUUAGUAAUAUAGUUAAAAUAGUUAUUUAAAAAUAAUUAAUAAAAUUAUUUUUUAGGUUAAAUUUUAAAUUAUUUUUAAAAUUAUUUUUAAUUUAAAUGUUUGAAGCUAUAAAAUUUAAAUUUUAAACUAGGAUUAGAUACCCUAUUAUUUUAAAUAUAAAUAUAUAAAACUAAGGUAGUAAUAGUUAUAUUCUUGAAACUUAAAAAAUUUGGCGGUGUUUUAGUCUAUUUAGAGGAACCUGUUCUGUAAUUGAUAAUCCACGAUAAAUUUUACUAAAUUUUGUAUAAUUUAUAUACCGUCGUUAAAAGAAUAUCUUAAAAGAGAAAAAUUUUCUAAUAUUUUAAAAAAAAAUUAUUUCAGAUCAAGGUGUAGUUUAUAAUUUAGAAGAAAUGGGUUACAAUAAAUUUAUUUAAACGGAUUUUUUAUUGAAAAAUAAAAUUGAAGGUGGAUUUAAUAGUAAUUUUAAUAAAAUAAUUAAUAUGAUUUUAGCUCUAAAACAUGUACAUAUCGCCCGUCGCUCUCUCUUUUAAAGGGAGAUAAGUCGUAACAUAGUAGAUGUACUGGAAAGUGUAUCUAGAAUGAU
rnacentral:rRNA from 1 species